CGGCGACGUUACCUUGAACAAAUUAGAGUGCUCAAAGCAGGCUCUGUAUGCCUGUAUACAUAUUCAUGGAAUUGGAGAAUACGUCCCUGGCUCGAUUUGGUUGGUUUUGAGAGUCGAAGGGAAAUGAUUAAUAGGGACUGACGGAGGCAUUCGUAUUGCGACGCGAGGGGUGAAAUCCUGUGACCGUCGCACGACGAACUACUGCGAAAGCAUUUGCCGAGAAUGUUUUCAUUAGUCAAGAACGAAAGUUAGAGGUUCGAAGGCGAUCAGAUACCGCCCUAGUUCUAACCGUAAACGAUGUCGACCAGCAAUCCGCAACGGUCACUAUACGGACUGUGCGGGCAGCUUUCCCGGAGAAAUCAGAGUGUAUGGACUCCGGGGGAAGUAUGGUUGCAAAGCUGAAACUUAAAGGAAUUGACGGAAGGGCACCACCAGGAGUGGAGCUUGCGGCUUAAUUUGACUCAACACGGGACAACUCACCAGGCCCGGACACCGUAAGGAUUGACAGACUGAUAGCUCUCUCUUGAUUCAGUGGGUGGUGGUGCAUGGCCGUUCUUAGUUGGUGGAGUGAUUUGUCUGGUUUAUUCCGAUAACGAACGAGACUCUGGCCUAUUAAACUUGACGCCGUCAGUCCUUAUGUGACUACGGCGCGCUUCUUAGAGGGAUCAUCGGCGUCCCAGCCGAAGGAAAGGGAGCAAUAACAGGUCUGUGAUGCCCUUAGAUGUUCUGGGCUGCACGCGUGUUACACUGAAGUGGUCAGCGCGCCGUUCAUCGUCCCUCUCCGUGAGGAGUGGGCAAACGUUUGAACCCUUUUCGUGAUGGGAAUUGGGGGUUGCAAUUGUCCCCCAUGAACGAGGAAUUCCAAGUAAGCGCAGGUCACUAGCCUGCGUUGAUUAAGUCCCUGCCCUUUGUACACACCGCCCGUCGCUACUACCGAUGGAUGAUUUGGUGAGGUCGCCUAGACUGGCCGCUGGCUUCGGCCGUGCGGCC
rnacentral:rRNA from 1 species